CAGUAAACUUGAGGAAUGCAAUAUAUAGUUCGAGGGCAAAAGAAAAGAAAAGGCAAAUGUGUAGUAAAUCAGUUAUUGAACAGUUGGAGCCCAAGCGAGGUCAGUAGGUAUACGGCGAGGUUGAAGAGAUUCUCGGACACUAGACCAUCAUCAUCAUCAUCAUCAUCAUCAAUAGCCGCUGGUUAAGUCUCUUCCGUUCUACGACCGGGUGUGGCAUGAAAAAGAUAGAGGAGCGCCGGUAAACACGAGUUGGCAUAUAUAGUAAGAAGAGACGUCCGUUGGUCAAGCAGGAAGAUCAAGUCAUAGAGUAGUCGAGAGUAGACCGGGGUACUGAGGCUACCAGGUCGAGUCUGGUUCAUUCAUCCACACCGACCGAUUAAUCGUCGCUUGCACUGAAAGGACGGCUAUUUGAGGAUGUUAAGAGGCAAAAGAAAAAAGAAGAGCACGCUUACUGAGAAAUAACAUCAAGUGCCCAUCUCCCUCGAGUCUCCCCGUGACCGCGACCUACCUGCUUCAGAUAUAACAUCUUUGGUCAGACAGCUUGGCUACUAGCUGGGAUUUUUUUUCAAAAUUAACAUCGAAACGAAUGUCUGGCAACUGUUUAAACACCAUAAUUGAAUCGCUGUCCUUGCUCAAGGUAUUUGGUAUUUGGUGUAUAUAUCAAUGAAAUAUUAUUUAACCUGCCAGUCACGAAAUAUUUAUGAAAGUUUGUAAUAGGAUUCUGUCUAAAGAGUUAGUGCAAUUGAAUAGCAAGCAUAUCUUUAGGGCAAUGCGCUCAUUUCCCGGUCAGCGACUCGGUGUCAGAACAUAUGCGAGCCGGCCGAGAAUACACAACAAUAUAAAUUUGAUUAUGUGACAUGGGCGAGCCGCUAAAGAGAGACCUUUAAGAGAGAUGACGAGAGAGAAAUCGCCACGUUCGACGCCAAACGGUCGUCGAAUUAUUCAGCAAUUUAUUUUGCAAUUUUCAAUAUAGCAGAUGCCGCUAACUUAUAAUUUUAAGUGUCAAGUGAAUUUGAAGUUAAUAAUAUACAUAUUGCAAAAUAAAAAUUUACAAAUUGACUUAUAAAUUGGCCAACCAAAAAAGAGUCAAGUGGUCCGGUAAAUUUCGUAUGGAUUGUUUGAAGAAGGAAAAUAUAUUUAUUAUAUAUGUUGGGCAUGUUAAAAUAAUGGAGACACCUGUACAUCGGACCAGUCGAGUUGUCGAUCGGGCUACAACUUAACGUUGGCUGACUAGUGGAGAAAGUACCGGAUCGUGAGAACUUGCAUCGAGAGUAUUCUCCACUCUACCAAGACGGUUUAUCCAUCGACUAUUUGUACAUUCACGCAAAACACGUGCUCACGCAAUAGCUUUGGUGGUCAAAUAGCUUUAAGUAAUUUAAUUAAGUACUCAGACUCAAGGGUCUUACAAGUAUCAUCUUUGCAGUCUAACUCUGACUUACGAGAAUUUUUUUUUCUUACAUAGAUAGAUAAAAUCACAGUAAUAAACUUAUGAGUAUAGAAUUUCUUAUGCCAAUAGCAUUAUGUGAAUUAAUUCUGUAAUUAUUUCAAAAGAACAUGAAUCUUACGCCUCUCUCUAGGUAAGGAAUA